AAACUCUGCUCAGAUUUUUACUGAAAUAAUUUAUUUCUCAAGGUUCUUAUACUAAGUUUAAAAUUAAAAAGUGCAAUUGACCGCGCGUGUGUGACCACGAACGACAUGUACGUGAUGGUGGUUGGCGCAAAAGGGGACGAGUGUCUUCCGGACGACGAGCAGGUGGACCCAGAGCGUCGGAUACCGGAGAAACUCGGACCCCGGCGAGAUUCAAAACGGAUGAAACGAGGUACGUGGGAUUCUGAUAGCUUUAACACUCUUUUCGAUCAAAUGAGCAUUCUCGCGAAUCUCUAUAUUGUAUUAAUAGAUUGAAUAACGUACCCACAACCAUCUUAUCCAAUUUUAACGGCGGCCCCGUCAGCCCCAAUCGCAAACAUUACCAAUCAAAAUACGUUGUUAGCAUCACCACAAUCGAACGAUAACUCUUUCUGGUACGAGUUUCUUAAUAAAUACCCAUUUAAACUACAACUAUUAGUAGACUGGGUGGCCAACCCCAACACUGAGCCAGCUUACAGCUUGAAUUAUUAAAUUCUAAUGUUUUUUGCAAAUCAAGAAGCUUAAUAAGUAUGAAAAAAUGUGCUAAGUGCAUCGAACAUGUAUACUUUUAUUUUGCAACAACAUAUAAAUUGUAAUGUGAAAUGCAAUAAACGUUUUUGAAUUUGAAUUUGAACAUGUCACGAGCGUAUUCUGGCUAAAAUUCCUAAUAAGCAUUGUGCGAGGAGCACCCUCCCAGUGCUGGAUUUUUGUUCGGCAAAAUCACCCUGUGCUCGUACUGGUGAUAUCAAAAAAAUAAUCCGACCUUGGUUCUCUAGCCGGUCACUUCAAGCAAAAUCAAAACAUAAUAAUAUCUUUAUUUGCUUAGACUGAUUAAAUUAGUUCUUACAAAUCGUCAAAUACUAAUAAAACAAAAAGCCAAGGAUUCCAAAUCAGUCCCUUCAGGUCCCCUUGACGACCAAUAAGUCAAAUGAUACCGGCCUAUCUUGGGCAUUGGCAGGCGUCAUCAUUCUGCGGAGGUCAACCUUUUACCUGACAACGGUUCCAGGGAUGCGUCUGCCAUUCACCUCCAAGCCGAUGCUUGCCCCUGCAACGCCGUGCUUUAUUCAGCGUCUUAACACUCUUGACUGUCUAGCGCUGACCAAAUAAGAAUAGCAAAGUCAAGUGACUUUCCACUCAGCAAAUUCUACGGAGGCUGCCUUUGAGCGUAUCUUAGGCAGUGGUAGGCGUCAUCAGACUGCGGAGGUCAACCUGUUACCUGACAAUGGUUCCAGGGAUGCGUCUGCCAUUCACCUCCAAGCCGGUGCUUGCCCCUGCACCUGCAACGCCGUGCUUUAUUCAGCGUCUCAACACUCUUGACUGUCUAGCGCUGACCAAAUAAGAAUAGCAAAGUCAAGUGACUUUCCACUCAGCAAAUUCUACGGAGGCUGCCUUUGAGCGUAUCUUAGGCAGUGGCAGGCGUCAUCAGACUGCGGAGGUCAACCUGUUACCUGACAAUGGUUCCAGGGAUGCGUCUGCCAUUCACCUCCAAGCCGGUGCUUGUCCCUUCAACGCCGUGCUUUAUUCAGCGUUUUAACACUCUUGACUGUCUAACGCUGACCAAAUAAACCGAAAUCCUGUUAAAACAGGUGCUGAAAUUACCAGAUAAGGCACCGCUCAGCAUGAGCCUGCUCCUCACAAUAUUCCUUCGCAAGAAGGACAGACCAAACAACCUAUUCUAUUAAACGUUCUAAUCAGUAGAUACAAGUAUGUAAGUAUUGAUCUGAUCUGAAGUAGUUGAAUGCUAAAUUCUAUAUCUGGAUGCAGAUACCGAUCACAGAGACACCGCCGGCCUCUCCGCAUGUCUUGUCAAGGUACCCUAAAAUUAUCAAUCUCUCGUUCUCUACUGCAUACCGAAAAACAUUAAUACAAUCACAAACUACUUACUAAACCUCGUCACCUUUGACAAACCAGACGAGACAGCAACUACUAGAACGGAAGGUUAGUGUGUAACAUUUAUCUUCGGGAACACUUUAAACCUUGUCAAUUACGUGAACUCAGUUUCAACAAGUCGUCAUCUCUAAGGAUUUAGUCGGUAAAUACGAAAUCUAUACGACUCAACAAGUGCCUAUAAUGGUAAGCUUGAUCUCCAGUGAGGGCUCGUCACAUUACAACUCGACCCCACACAACCGAUUCAAUACACAAGACUCCAGCUCAGCAUCUCUUAACAACAAUCUGGAUGUCUGCAAAAUAUCAGAAAUCAUAAUCAGCGAUGGGGGAUUUCUCAUUCUUUCAUUCAUUUCAUGUGCGUUCACUAAUUUUGCUAUCGGACAAUCAAAGCAUAGCCUAUACUCGAAACUAAGGGAGGAAGGGGCACAUUCAGAGCCUCUAUUGGAACUGUCUCUCUAACUUUUCAACUUGAAAAACAUCACCCCCUUUCGGUUCAGUCGGGUAAAAAUAGCUCUGGCAGCGCAAAAUAUUAUCUCCCAGGUCGAUUCAAUCAAAUUUAUCUGACGAUCUAGGUCGAUUUACGGGGAAAACAACCUACUUAGUGGCAUCUCCUGGGUUCAAAUCCAAAGGUAAAUAUUCCAAAAGUUCGGGAAACUGGAUAUCCAGAGACCCCACAGAGAUUCACCAGCAGCCUUUGCAACGACUUCAACCAGGGUGGCUAUGGUGGUAAACUAGGCUAAAUCUUUGCUGUCCCGUUUCUCACUACAGCAAAAGGUACCUGCUUAGCACCUCGAAGUGACCUUUCUGGCUUUUCUUAGCUCUUUUCUUAGGGUUCGAGACCGACCCUCAAAAUACAGAAUCUCCACCAUGUUCUUACCACAUGGUGACCUCCACGUCAGGAUCAGGUAACAUGUAACUUUUUAGUAUGUUGAGUUGGGGGUAAUAAGGUAUCGUUCCUAAAACAUACCUGGCAAAAAUCCACUUUAAAAACUUAUAAAAUAACCUGGCCUUGGUGGUUAAACUAAUGGCCUAAGGAAAACAGUCGUAGCUAUAUACUUACCUCUUGAAGCUCGACAGCAAGAUUUAUUUGCUAGACUAAAUCGUUUAUCUACUCUUCUACUACCUUUAUGCCCUGUGGGUCUAGACAAAAUUUACUUUAAAAUCGCAAACCAGUCGAAGGAUGGUCGAUUAGCCUUCUUUUUUCUAUACGAAGUUAUAACGUAUCCAAUUUUCGAUUCGAUCAAAAAGUGCUACUUGUCUAGGGGGGCUGGUAUUACUAAUCUAAAACUAUAUUAAAGAUAACUUUAAUUUUCUUACUAAGCAUAAAAGCUUAACCAAUUUCACUUCCUGAUAAAGGCCUUAAACCCAACAGUAGGUAUCUAAAAUGUGACCUUUACGAGGCUUCUCGUAGACUAGCUUAUGUAUAUUUUUCUCCUACCAUCUAUAUCAGCUGCUGACAUGACAAAACAUAGUCUCACCUGAAUAAUUUCAAGAUUAAGUUAAUAAACCUUGACCUACGAGUAAGUUCGGCACCGUUACGGCAUCAUACAAACAACUGGGAAAAAUGACAGCAAAUCCCAAAAAA